rnacentral:lncRNA from 1 species
UGUCAUAAGUACUUAAUUUGACAUUCAGCUGUAGUAGCCAUAUGUUCUUUGAUUUCCUUAUGAGCACCAUGAUGGAAACACUCAAAUGAAUUUGAGAAAAAUUGGAAGAAAUUAGAUUAUCGGGUUCUGUUAAACUGUUAAUGUAUCUUGCUUAAAUUUUUGUUCAUUAAUUUAUAUCCAUCCAAUUAUAUAAAGCAAAUUUGGAGGAAACAGCUGAAGUUGUGCAAUAUUUUCAGUGAUAAUUACUUUUUGUUCUUGUGUUUUCUACUUAAAACAUGAUGUCUAUGUUAUCCAGUAUUAUAGUCAGACCUUCUUUUCUAGAUUUUCAGAAUUUCUAAAUGAACUUUUUUUAAAAAAAUAAAUUUCCACAUUGAUUUUAGUCUUUCUUUGUUAUAAGGCUUCUUUCACAGAAGUUUGGUAAUAUUGAAGUCACCGGUAUUGAACAGAAUGAUUUUG